rnacentral:rRNA from 1 species
UACGUAGGUGGCUAGCGUUGUCCGGAUUUACUGGGCGUAAAGCGCGCGCAGGCGGUCGUUCAAGUCGAGUGCGAAAGCCCCCGGCUCAACUGGGGAGGGUCACUCGAUACUGAUCGACUUGAAGGCAGAAGAGGGAAGCGGAAUUCCCGGUGUAGUGGUGAAAUGCGUAGAUAUCAGGAGGAACACCGGUGGCGAAGGCGGCUCUCUGGACCACAACUGACGCUGAGGCGCGAAAGCUAGGGGAGCAAACAGG